rnacentral:lncRNA from 1 species
AUGGCAGGAGUGGGAAGGGUGCUCCAGGAGAGCAGGGUGCUUCAGCUGUCCCAAGGAGAUCAGCGAGACACCAGCAGGGAGCGAGGGAGCCCUCAUACACUGGGCUCAGAGGGGGGCUCAGGGAUGCCCCCCAGGCUGCCCUUCCUGCUCUCCCCCUGCCCCAGUGGCAUUGAGCACACAGCUAUCUCUCUCGUCUCUGCAAGAAGAGAGGUGAGGGGCAGGGACCAGGACACGGCAGGACUUUGGCCAUGGGGAACUGCUUUAUUUUGUUUUACACUUUCCUGGAAACAAAUGGCUGAAGGGGCCACUCCUGCUGCCUUGCUGGGAAGCCACGGCUCCCUCCCCAUCUGCCUUCCAGGAUGCUCCAUGCCCAGAGACUGCCUAUGUCUCUCCCAGGAGCUGCUCACAGCCCAAAUGGACCCCAGAGUCACCUCUGGGGCUGCUGACUCCAACAUCCCCCAAACCCAAAAGGACUCAUCCGGCUGUCCCAAGCCCACAGACAGCACUGACCCUCACAGAGCAGAGCAGCCCUGGCCCCACGGGCUGUGCAUGGGUCUCCUCCCAGCAGGCAGCACCCACCAGCCCAUGGACUGCAAACCCCAUGCCCUAAGGCUAAGCAGCCCCAGCCAGCCCUGUGCAUUAGCACCAGGUUGAUUUAUAGAAAUUCGAUGGUUGGGGCUGCCAGUGCCUCCUGCCAAACCUCAUUAACGGCUGGCCUGGGAGCAAGGCAAACAGCUCAUGCAGCAACAAGGAAAUCCUUGUUUAAGCAUUUCUGGCCAUGCAUGGCCCUUCCCCUCACACCCCGGGGAGAGAAGAGGUGGAGGAGAUGCAAGGCUCAGGCCCAGCUGGCACAGCCUGGGGCAGCCACAAAGAAGGAGGCAGCAGGGAACACAGCAUGGGCUGUGCAGAGUGGGAGCCUCCAGGAGGGUUGGAGGCAGUGGGAAGCCAUGGGGGCACAGCACAGGGCUCCUUUUCUCUGCACCCUUGUGCCUCGUUGCACUUUGUCUCUGGUCUCUGGUGCAGAGCAGCAUGGAUGGAGCUUCCAGGCAGUCUCCUGCCCUUUGGUGUCCCUGCACAGAGCAUUGCAGGUGCCAGGCAUAAGGGUCUGCAUGAGGCUGUGUGAGGAAGCACGGGUAUCACCACUGUCCUGGGGCAGGCACAGGGCAGCAGCACAGCCAUCCCACAGCCCUGGCACCAGCACUUUGCUGAGCAGCCUCAGCAGCCUGCAUCCGCCUGCCCCAUGUGUGGCGCAGGAUCUAUUUCAUCAUCUGGAGAAAAGCAUUUACUGCCAAUAAACGGGCUAAUUAAUUCUCCUCA